rnacentral:lncRNA from 10 species
UUUGCCUAAAUACUUUUUAAUUUUGUUUUAUUUAGAAUGAUCAGCCUUCGCGGCCCCCCUUUUUUGUACCCCAACUUGGGGUGUAUGAAGGCUUUUGGUCUCCCUGAGAGUGGCUGGAGGCAGCCAGGGCUUACCUGUACUCUGACUUAAGGAGAGUUGGAAAAAAGUGCACACCUUAAAAAAAAUUCAAUGAGGAAGCAUUAACAAAAACAGUAUUUCUGUACAGUGGACAGCUUAGCAUGUUGACAACUGAGAAUAAAAUGCUCAGUUCUGAACUGGACAAUGUAAGACACAACGACGAAACACUGGAAAUGGAAAUUCAAUUACAUCAUUGUAGACUGGCUACUGCUCUACAUGAUUGUGACCAAAGUCAGAGAGCUGAAAGAGACUUCUUUCCAGAGAACAAGACAUGAACAGGUUUAUUUACAGAAGACAAUGAAUUCUCAUUUGUCUAACCUAAAAGAUUACAGAAUCUUUCUCAACAAGUCUAAUGUAGACAGUAAAAUCAACAGGCUAAAAAUUAAGUUCCAUGAAACAAGAUAAAACUCUGAGAGAAAAGAUGGGGCAGGCCGCCAUCUUUCCCGUUCGGGCAACUUAGUCAUUCCAGCCUGAGGGCUUUGGAGAGUACAAACUGACCAGGGAAAGAAGAGAUCCCAGAGCACAGCAUAGCUGCUUUACCAAAUCAUGGCCAGACUGCUUCUGUAAGCAGGCCCCUGAUCCUGUUCCACCUCACUGGACAGGACCUCCCAACUGGGGCCUCCAGCUACCCCCACCAGCAUCCCUUGGCCAAUGGAAAUUUGAAAUGUUCCUGGGACAGAGCUCCUGGAGAGAGGGGCAGGCCACCACCUUUGCUGUUUGGGUGACUAGCCGUUCUGGCCUGCAGGCUUUGGAGAGCCCAAGCUGACAAGGGGUAGAAGAGGUGCCUCAGCACAGCACAGCCACGCUACGAAAACAUGGCCAGACUCUUGUUUAAGUCAGUCCCCGAACACAUUUCUAGUCAGUGGGUGAAGUCUUUCAACCAGGGUCUCUGGCUACCUUGACUGCUGUUCUCUGGCCGACAGAGGUCUCAGGCCUCCCUGAGUCAGAGCUCCCGGGGGGAGGACCAGAUUGUCAUCUUUGCUGUUUGGGUGACCCAGCCAUUUCAGCCUUAGGGCUUCAGAGUGUCUGAGGUAGCCAGGGGCUGAAGUGAACCCCCAGCACAGCACAGCUGCUCUAUAAAAACGUGGCCAGACUUUUUCUUUAAGCAAGUCCCUGUUCUUAUUCCUCCUGACUAGGUAAGACUUCUCAACUUGCCUCCAGCCACAUCUUAUUGGUGUGUUCAGAUUGGCAACAGGUUCGUACCUCAGUGGUACAGAGCUCCCAGAGGAAGGGGUAGGCUAUCAUCUUCCCUGGAAAAUACGAGUCAAUUAGGGACUUGAGGGGACCCCCAGCAUUCCACAGCAGCCCUUCAGAAAAGUGGCCAGACUCUGUACUUGAUGGGCAGAUCCUCCUGGCCUGUGUCUCUAGCCAGCCCACCACUGGAGCUAUCAAGCCAGUAGCAACUCAGCAGUUCCUUGGACAGAGCUUCCAGGAGCAAAUGAAAUCCUUUCUGCCACUGCCUUUGCAGUGAACUGCCCUUGCUAUCCUCAGAAGAUAUAUCACGGGAGCAAAGACCCUAAGUGCCAUAUCAACACCUCCAAUAAGCUGCAGUUGACCCAAAGAACAAGCCAAUCCAUCUCCCAUAGGUACCACACACACUCCACUACUCAUCACCAGACAGGGAACCCUGGCUUGGGCCCACAGCACAGACCCUCCAUCCUGGGCCGAUUACACUGAGUGAUUGCUAACUCACAUGUCUCUGGGAUGGAGCACCCAGGAGACAAGCAAAGUGGUGGAGCAGCAAGUCAGGUGAUGUGGAGCCCAGAGGGCAGGGACAGCUAUCUCUCUAGGCUCCACUUGCCCUUGUGAGACACUUUGUCCCAGCACUUUAGGAAUGCUGAGGUCAGACCAGCCACAUCUCAUGUGCAAGAUUGCCCAGCAGACAUCAGGUCUGAGAGUUCCCCUUUUAAAAAAGGGGACUUGCUUAAAAAAGAAGUCUAGCCACGAUUGUGUAGAGCAGCUGUGCUGUGCUGGAGAUUCACUUUUGAGAGAGUUCUCCUCUGAGACCUGAUCUUUAGAGGCUGGGCAGUCUUGCACAUGAGAUGGGGCUGGUCUGAUCUCAGCACUCCUUAGUCUGCUUGCCUCUCCCAGGGCCCCAGCCUGGCCACACCUGCUUACAGGGCACUCUCAGAUGCCCAUACCAUAGUUUCUGUGCUAGUGGACCGUACCAUAUCAGUGGAGAGCUGCAGCAAGGUGGCCCCUACGGCCACGCACCAGCCUGCACAUUACCUCUCCAUACUGCAGCCCUUUAUAUGGAAACUUCCUACAUCACUUUGCUGUGUGUGUUUACACAGGUGGAUUUUGCUUUACUUGCACUGACAGCACACAGGAGGGCAGCACACACCCCAACCCACAUCAACUGCCAUUAAAGAAAAGAAAUUUCAGCCCAUAAUUUCAUGUCCAGCAAAAUUAGGCAUCAUAAGUGAAGGAGAAAUAAGAUCCUUUUCAGACAAGCAAAUGCUGAGGGAAUUCAAUAUCACCAGAUCUACCUUACAAGAGCUCCUGAAGGAAGCACUAAAUAUGGAAAGAAAAAACCAUCACCAGCCACUACAAAAAUGCAGUGAAGAACGCAGUGAAUUACGCAGUCCAGUGAUGCUAAAAACCAACCACAUACGUUAAGUCUGCAAAAUAACCAGCUGACAGCAUGACGACAGGAUAAAAUCCACACAUACCAUUACUAACCUUAAAUGAAAAUGGGCUAAAUGCUCCCAUUGAAAGACACGGGGCAAGCUGGAUAAAGAACCAAGACCCACUGGAGUAUGCUGUCUUCAAGAAACCCAUCUCACAUGCGGUGGCAUACAUAGGCUCAAAAUAAAGGAAUGGAGAAAAAUAUUUCAAGCAAAUGGAAAACAGAAAAAAGCAGGUGUUGCACUCCUACUUUCUGACAAAACAGACUAUGCGAAUAAAGAUAAAAAAGAGAAGGACAUUACAAAGGUGGUCCUGACCUUUGAUAAAUCUCAUUGCUUGAUACCAACCUGGGCUGUUUUAAUUGCCCAAACCAAUAGGAUAAUUUGCUGAGGUUGUGGAGCUUCUCCCCUGCAGAGAGUCCCUGAUCUCCCAAAAUUUGGUUGAGAUGUAAGGUUGAUUUUGCUGUACAACUCCUUUUCUGAAGUUUUACUCAUUUCCAAAAAGGAAGGCAAGUUUUCCUGCUUCCAUGACGAUGGAGAGCAGGCAUCUCCUUUCCUGAGUUUCAGCUUGCUUCUGACAGGGAAGGUGAGUGUAAGUUUUUUCCAGCUUCUAAGAUGGCAGAGAACGAUCACCAGCCUGAGCCUUAUUUCCAGGUAAGUAGCUGAAUUAGAGUUUUGUCUUAAAAUUUUUCCUUAAUGAAUAAAAUGUAAGAUUACCCACCAGCUGCUUUUAAUUUCUCCUUAGCAUUAGAACACUCAGUAAUCAUAUGAAUUGUGCAUUUGUUUGUUUUGCUUAACUCUUUCUGUUUGUUUAUGUUUGGGGUUUUAUUGUUGUUGUUUCACUUUUCUCCCAUCUCUUCCUGACUUGGUCAAAUCCAAAGGAAUCUUCCAAAUUGUGGGGAGCAAGGCAUCUGAAAUGGCUAAAACUCCUGUGGCUGCAAA